CUAGGCCUCAUGAGGCCAGACACCCACCAUGUCACUGUUCUGGGUGCCGGGGUAGGGAGUGACAUUUCCUGCAUGAAUAACAUUUUCAGUUCACUUUUGUAGCCAACUUGAUCCACAGCUGUUGUGUACUUACAAAGACUAAGUAGAGUUAAGUAUGACUCAGAUGCUUUUGAUUUGUCAGAUACAACCUAGUGUCUGCUACCCCAGAUGUCCAACUUAUUUUACACUGCACCAAUGUUUUGGACACUGCCCAAAAUGUGUUUAGUUGCAUGUUAGAAUAAACCAUGAUAUCACCA